rnacentral:rRNA from 1 species
GGACGAACGCUGGCGGCGUGCUUAACACAUGCAAGUCGAACGGAGGAUUAUUUCGGUAGAUCCUAGUGGCGAACGGGUGAGUAACGCGUGGGCAAUCUGCCCUUCAGAUGGGGACAACAUCCCGAAAGGGGUGCUAAUACCGAAUACGAUCCUUCCACCGCAUGGAGGGGGGAUGAAAGAUGGCCUCUAUAUAUAAGCUAUCGCUGAAGGAUGAGCCUGCGUCUGAUUAGCUUGUUGGUGGGGUAACGGCCUACCAAGGCGAUGAUCAGUAGCCGGUCUGAGAGGAUGAACGGCCACAUUGGGACUGAGACACGGCCCAAACUCCUACGGGAGGCAGCAGUGGGGAAUAUUCCGCAAUGGACGAAAGUCUGACGGAGCAACGCCGCCGUGAGUGAUGAAGGUUUUCGGACUGUAAAGCUCUGUUGUUUGGGACGAAAGUGCCUGUUGCGAACAGUUACGGGUAUUGACGGUACUAAACGAGGAAGCCACGGCUAACUACGUGCCAGCCGCGGC